GAUGAACGCUGGCGGCGUGCCUAAUACAUGCAAGUCGAGCGAACAGACGAGGAGCUUGCUCCUCUGACGUUAGCGGCGGACGGGUGAGUAACACGUGGAUAACCUACCUAUAAGACUGGGAUAACUUCGGGAAACCGGAGCUAAUACCGGAUAAUAUAUUGAACCGCAUGGUUCAAUAGUGAAAGACGGUUUUGCUGUCACUUAUAGAUGGAUCCGCGCCGCAUUAGCUAGUUGGUAAGGUAACGGCUUACCAAGGCGACGAUGCGUAGCCGACCUGAGAGGGUGAUUGGCCACACUGGAACUGAGAAACGGCACAGACUCCGACGGGAGGAAGCAGUAGGGAAUCUUCCGCAAUGGGCGAAAGCCUGACGGAGCAACGCCGCGUGAGUGAUGAAGGUCUUCGGAUCGUAAAACUCUGUUAGUAGGGAAGUACAAAUGUGUAAGUACCUAUGCACGUCUUGACGGUACCUAAUCAGAAAGCCACGGCUGACUACGUG
rnacentral:rRNA from 1 species